UAGGGAAUCUUCCGCAAUGGACGAAAGUCUGACGGAGCAACGCCGCGUGAGUGAAGAAGGAUUUCGGUUCGUAAAACUCUGUUGUUAGGGAAGAAAAAAUGUAUAGUAACUAUAUACAAAAGAGACGGUACCUAACCAGAAAGCUACGGCUAACUACGUGCCAGCAGCCGCGGUAAUACGUAGGUGGCAAGCGUUGUCCGGAAUUAUUGGGCGUAAAGCGCGCGCAGGUGGUUUAGAAAGUCUGAUGUGAAAGCCCACGGCUCAACCGUGGAGGGUCAUUGGAAACUAAUAGACUUGAGUGCAGGAGAGAAAAGUGGAAUUCCUAGUGUAGCGGUGAAAUGCGUAGAGAUUAGGAGGAACACCGGUGGCGAAAGCGGCUUUUUGGCCUGCAACUGACACUGAGGCGCGAAAGCGUGGGGAGCAAACAGG
rnacentral:rRNA from 1 species